rnacentral:rRNA from 1 species
UUAAUAAGCGGAGGAAAAGAAACUAACAAGGAUUCUCUUAGUAAGGGCGACUGAAGCGAGAAUAGCUCAAGAUGUUAAUUGAUGUGUCAUGCAUCGAAUUGUGGUCUUUUGAUAUUUGUGUUAAAGUGUGGAUGAAGUCUUCUGGAAAGGAGCGGCAAAGAGGGUGACACCCCCGUGAAUCUACGCUAUAAAACUUUUAUCAUUGAGUCGAGUUGCUUGGGAUUGCAGCUCUAAGUGGGUGGUAAAUUCCAUCUAAAGCUAAAUAUGGUUGGGAAACCGAUAGUGAACAAGUACCGUGAGGGAAAGAUGCAAAGAACUUUGAAAAGAGAGUUAAAGAGUACCUGAAAUUGCUGAAAGGGAAGCGAAGGAAACCAGUGUAUGUUAAAACAUAUUUGUCUUCUGGCUUGCUGGAAGACCGCUAUGCUUAACAAUGUCUUGGUUGGUUGGAUUGGGAAAAAAUUUGUUUUUACUGCUAGUGAUUACAUAGUUUCUUGAUUUGACUGAGUUAAGACAAAAUGGUUUUCUUUUCCCCG